CCUAACUGUAAACGAUGCGGACUUGGUGUUGGGGUGGCUUUGAGCUGCUCCAGUGCCGAAGGGAAGCUGUUAAGUCCGCCGCCUGGGAAGUACGGUCGCAAGACUGAAACUUAAAGGAAUGGCGGGGGAGCACCACAACGCGUGGAGCC
rnacentral:rRNA from 1 species